AUGUGAAAUCCACACAACUGGUUCCAGAGCAAAACCACCAGUUGUUUUUGAUUCCACCACCCACUGAAAGCUCUGACUCUAGCACAGAAAAACUAUAUUUACAGGGCCAGAGAAAAAAAAUAUGCUUUUGUCAGGAGAUGGAGGUGGGGUCAAGGAAACCAACAACCAAUGAAAAUUCUAUUUUUGUUGGAUUAAUUGUAUUAAAAAAUGCUCUACUUAAACAUGAAAAGAAGUCAAAUUAGCCAAGUGUCCCAUCUUCCUCCAGUUUGUGAUUUGUUAAAUUGUUCGUCUAGUUCAGACAUCGACAUAAAUAUGUGGACAAUGGGUUUCCAUAGACUCCAAUAACAAGUUUUUCUGCUAAAAUGGGAGGUGGCCACCACCGCCAUUUUGACCGUGUCACAGGUUCCGUCAAGCCCAGACAAUUCCAUAAAAGGGAAGAGAGGUGGAGCUGAGGGUGGGGCUGUAAGGCUGGGAUCAACUGACGACACCCGGUCGAACUAGCUACAAGCUAACCCAAAGCUAACGCGGAGGUGGGAGCUAAGCUAACGGAGGUAGCAACCGAGCUACAACCGGAGUUAACUGUGCACAACACCAGAGCUUCUGAGUCAGAGAUACGCCGGGCUGACCGCUGGGUAAAACCGGGUGGAACAUAGAGGUCUCCCGAGAGCUCCACAAGCCGGCAGCCGCACAGCAGACAAGCGCCGCUGCGAUCUGAGAUGCGCAGAGCUGCCGCUGGGGAGAACCGGGUGGAAAGGUUUCCAUCCAGAGCUCCUCAAGCCGUCAGCCCGCGCAGCACACAGAAGCCGCGAUCAGACAGAGAUGCGCCGAGCUGCGGGGAGGGGAACGGGUGGAAAACAUCGGUCUCCCGAGAGCUCCACAAGCCGAUAGUCGGAACCCAGCUCCACCAACAUGUUAUAUUUCAACCCAUUUUCUAAAGUGCAGCAUUAUGUUAAAUGCACUGGGUUUUACCCUAUUACAUUUAAAUGUCAUGGUUAAACAGUACAUGUUAAAAUCUAAGCUCAGCUCGGCAGUGACCUAAAAUACAUAAAUAUAAUUUUACUUACCGAAAAAAAUGAAGUGGAGACUCCUUGGACGCUCUAUUAGUGCAAUUAACGCCACAGCAAGUCAUUUUGUCCAACAAUUGCACAAAUAAUAUCCAAACAGGAAUACACACACACAGAGACUCAAAAUCCCGGAACAGUUUCCAAGCCAGACCGAGGCUCUACUGAGGCCUUUCCACGGAGCUAGCUCUGUGGUCACGUGGGUCUGAUGCUCAUUAAUUAUACAGAAUUUUAGGCUUUUAACACACUUAAACAGAAGAGUGAGAAAAAAAUGCACCCCCCUCAGAGUUGUCAUGAGUGUAAACUAGAUCAUUUAAACCAAAAACAUGUUUUGGUACCAGGCUGUAAACAUGUUUAUUUCUGCUGUGAAAUUGGUAUUUUUAACAUGGGAGUCAAUGAGGAUUUGCUCGCUUCUGACACCAGCCCCCAGUGGAUGAGGGUGGAACUGCAAUUUAUUUCACUUCCGGGUUUGACUCAAUUUCAGAGCUGCAUUGUGCGGGCCUGGGUGGAUCGAAGCGCUUCAUUGAGCUGCCUUCACAACUGCUGGAGCUUCUUUGGUAGAACCCUUUAUGAUGCACAUGACUGCUGUUAAUGCCCCACUAGAUGGGGAUUUAGAGAGUUGAAUUUACAACAUUGUGUGAUUUGUCUCAGUAUAUCCAUACGGAGGUUCUUCUGAAUCCCUAAAACCAGUUUGGUGUGUGCCUAGAGGUAUCUGGGUGUGAUAAAAACUAAAUCUAGUAUACAACAGUAUUCAGUGUCUUGUGACUUCCUCAUGCAGAAGUAAUCACCACCAGUAGCUCUAAUCAGUUUGGCACAUCAGCUUGGAGGAAAUGUUCCCAUUUCCUCUGCCCAGAAAAGCUUCAACACAGGAAUGUUGGAUGUUUUCUUUUUUCUUAAUUGCUCGGUUUAUUACGCAACACUCAAAGCACAAUGUGAGUGAGGAAGACAAAACAGGAGACUUAAGGUGCACUAUGUAGAAAAGAAGUAAAUGACAUCCUGUGGUAAAAUUUGGUUACUGCAACCACUUGAAACCAUUCUGGAGCUUUUUGCUGGCCGUUGUCAAAUUACAAUAGUCGGCACUGCAGCAUUAGCUCACAGGAGACACGGCAACCCCACACACACUGAUGGGAAACGGUGAUGCACCGAUAUGACAUUUUUGGGCCGAUACCGAUAUCCGAUAUUAAUGUGGCAGAAUGGGUCAGUACUAAGCAGAAUAUUAAAAAGUUUAAAUCCUGCCAACAAUGCCAAAUGUGGCGGAGCUCGCGGUAGGGUACCUUCUUUAUGAAGCUCGCCCCUUUAACCGUGAUUACCAACUACCCAAACUGGGAGAACACACAACACCGCCACCUUGGGAAUUUCACCUAAGGAAAAAUAAUUGGAUACCUCUAGGCACACAUAGGUUCAUGCUCCAAAGAGGUGGCAGAAACAAGGUUGCAUAAAGUUCACAAAUGUAUUAAAGAGCAAGUAACGUCUAAAUUAACUUUUUUUUGCUGAUGAACUGUAUAAGUGAGUGUCUAAUAGUGUUUUAAAUGUGUGUAUUCAUUAUUUUAGCAUUUUGGGGCAUUUUCUUUAAAAUUGAAAAUUUCUGCCUAAAUACCACAGUAUAGUGCCACCUACAGCUUAAAACAUAGAAUUUGAGUCAUUUUAGCCAAUGGCUAAAGAGUAAGAUACUACGCAAACCAGUAGAGUACUACGUAGCAGCUAUGUGUCAAAGUUAUAAAAACAUCGAGAGUCUCGGCCACGCCUUGUGGCGAGUUGGGAGUUGGAUUUGCAAGCGAGCGUAGGAGGUUAGCGGUAGUUCAGCAUUAGCAUAUAGCAUUAGCAUAUCAUAAUCUUUAGCAUAGCUUUUAGUGUUAUACAUACUUAUUUAGUGUUAGCUUGGCUGUUAGAUAUUGUAGUUUAGUUAGUGUUUAGCUGUUGGUGUUAUUAGGAAAGUAGUUCGGGUUUAGUGUUACAUAUUGUGUUAGUAUGGUGAGAAGGUGUAGUGUAGUGGGUUGCGGUGGAUCUGUGGGGUUGCACUACUUUCCACUGGACUUAGAAAUUAUGCGCCAGUGGUUGCGCGCAAUCGGUGUCUGGAAAACAGUCAGCUCCCGCCUGGUGCUGUAGUUUGCAACCAGCAUUUUACCCGCGAUUCCUUCGCCAACAUGACGGAGUUUGAACUGGGUUAUUGUGCACGUCUCCGUUUGAAGAGGGAGGCCGUGCCCACCGUGGCUCUUCCGCGAUUUAGAUGCAGCCCACCGACUCUGCUCCCCCACCAUGGCGGGCUCCAAUCUGAGGUGAGUAAGCUAAAUAAAAGUUUUAACAUCUUCUAAAGACAAUUUCCUACCUAAAUGCAACGUUUGAGAGACGUGGUUCACUUAAUUUAGCUAAUAUCAGCCUGCACUGCCUUCGGGCUGAUUUGUCAAGUUCACAAAAUGUGGAACAGGGUGUAAGGUUAGAAUCAGCGGCGAAUCGGAACAUAUCUCGAAGCCCUGGCCGACGAAAUGGUCCACAUGACUGUUACUGUCAGGCUCGGAGAAAAUUCGGGUUGUUUUUGUGUCGGUCGGUAAUUCUGCAACAGUGGCUCUAACUGAUGCAGCACUAGCUGACAGACAGCAUUACAGCGUGAAAUCCAGCAUUAAACCACAGCGUGACCCGGUUCUGUAAGGAAUUCUGUUCAGGAGAUCGCAUUUCAGACUCUUCACAUCAUAUGAUACUGACUUUUACAUUAUAAUAACGAUCACACACUAGGAAUGUUAUAAAGCGCCUAUAUGGGACAGUUUCUUUUGUAUAUAAUCUAUGACUUUAUAAACUCCAACAACAAUGUGCUUCUUUUUUUCAGGCUAAAUCUACCCAAGACAUUGGCUAUCAGACUGAUUUAGUAGUCUGCAAGAAUGUACUUGUCCAGGCAGACGUGAAGCCUUACCCGUGGCAAAGCCAGCCAGUUUAGAGCUCCUAGCCGCAGUGUGUCUUGUGACACAGGGACCAUGACGGAAAUUCAUCUUCCCGAAAGUCCCAGAGCAGCGUCCACACCCCUGAAAAGACCAAGAUGUGAGGUGUCUGCUGUUGAUCCCAGCUUCCACCUAAAUGACAGUGCAAGCUCAGUGAACUGUUCAAGGUAAAAAAAAUUAUGACAUUUUAGAAUUAUUAAGAUAUUACCACAUAUAUAAAUAUAUGUGUUCUAUACAGCUCUUUCACUGAGGUCCAUCCACAAAAGGACAAGCAGUACAUUGUUCAUGAGGAACAGUUGCUGUCUACAGCACUAUUAGUCACUCUUUCAUACAUUUGUCAUUUAAAAAUGUCAGCUAUGGGUAACUUUUUCUCAAUGAAAUAAUGAGAUAUGCUGUAGUGUACCCAAAGUACAAACGUGGAGACUACACAGUGAGAGCCCUGAAGACCAAUCCAACCUCAUGUAUGUCAUAUAUUGUAUGAUAAAACCAAAAUGAUGGUCAUGGAGAACUAUUGUAAUACUGAAAACCCUUUUCUAGUAUAUGUGCACAAGCUUAUGGACCUGCUGUUCGACUCUGUGGUGGUGGAUCCUCUCCCAUAUCAGGAGUACUCGGACAAAAUUCCUGUUCCAGAACCUCUCUGUGCCCAGUUCUAAAGACCAGACAAACGGGAUGCUGUGAGCAGGCACAGGUCCAGGUUUUAAAGUGCACUUAAGGUGAGCUACACAACAAGAGAUUGUAAUUAUUAGUUAGUAUUCUACUCUGUGUGGUUUUUCCUUUUCUCCUCCUCAGCCAGGCUGCUCACCACUGUACGACAGAGGAGUUACCUGUCGUCAUUACGGAUCUUUCUGCUCAUCCACUCGUGACUCAUGCUGUCCACCUCCCAGAUGUCUAUGGAUCUCUACAACCUUUCUGCUCUGUGGCUCCCAUACAACUUGAAAAUCUUGGCCAGCCUCCUCAUCUUGUAACAGAAAAACCUGUGCUCCUGGGCUCCAUCUCCACGACGUUUGUCAUCACAGUGAAAGCUACCUCCAGUCUAAGGAACCUAAGAAACAUCACUGUUGGCCCAACCUCUCCUCACAUGGCUCCAGAAUCUUUGCUUGUGGUUUAGAGUUUUGUCAAAAAUCAUGAAAGUUAUGAUCAGAUUGUAAUCGAACAUUGUCUUAGUAGUAGCUAUAAUAAAUGUUAUCUUUGCAGCGCAAUUGUGUCAUUUUAAAUACAAUUAUAUUGAUAUUUUGAUGUGUAUAAAUACAUAUAUCACAUUUAUUAAAUUAUCAUUCAUUUUUACCUAAUUGAACCUGCUCUAGA